rnacentral:lncRNA from 1 species
UGAAAUAAAAAAUUUGAAUAACUAAGAAGUUCAAAACCAAAUCUCAUACAUUCUCUUUAGUCCCGGCCUAAAACCCGUAAAACCCUCAUAUAUGGGAGUCCGGUCCGGUCUACCCCGAAAAAUAUCCGAGCCUAUAUUUCAAAGUCUGGCCCGGUCUAACAGGGAUUUUCGGGGUUUUUGGGCUUUACUUAUCGAUAAAAAAAUAAAAUCAAUUUCUAAG